rnacentral:rRNA from 1 species
CACUCCUACGGGAGGCAGCAGUGGGGAAUUUUGGACAAUGGGCGAAAGCCUGAUCCAGCAAUGCCGCGUGCAGGAUGAAGGCCUUCGGGUUGUAAACUGCUUUUGUACGGAACGAAAAAGCUCCUUCUAAUACAGGGGGCCCAUGACGGUACCGUAAGAAUAAGCACCGGCUAACUACGUGCCAGCAGCCGCGGUAAUACGUAGGGUGCGAGCGUUAAUCGGAAUUACUGGGCGUAAAGCGUGCGCAGGCGGUUAUGUAAGACAGAUGUGAAAUCCCCGGGCUCAACCUGGGAACUGCAUUUGUGACUGCAUGGCUAGAGUACGGUAGAGGGGGAUGGAAUUCCGCGUGUAGCAGUGAAAUGCGUAGAUAUGCGGAGGAACACCGAUGGCGAAGGCAAUCCCCUGGACCUGUACUGACGCUCAUGCACGAAAGCGUGGGGAGCAAACAGGAUUAGAUACCCCUGUAGUCCCA